rnacentral:rRNA from 1 species
CCUACGGGAGGCAGCAGUGGGGGAUAUUGCACAAUGGGGGAAACCCUGAUGCAGCGACGCCGCGUGGGUGAAGAAGUAUUUCGGUAUGUAAAGCCCUAUCAGCAGGGAAGAAAGAAGACGGUACCUGACUAAGAAGCCCCGGCUAACUACGUGCCAGCAGCCGCGGUAAUACGUAGGGGGCGAGCGUGAUCCGGAUUCACUGGGUGUAAAGGGAGCGUAGACGGCCGUGCAAGCCAGGAGUGAAAGCCCGGGGCCCAACCCCGGGACUGCUCUUGGAACUGUGCGGCUGGAGUGCGGGAGGGGCAGGCGGAAUUCCUGGUGUAGCGGGGAAAUGCGUAGAUAUCAGGAGGAACACCGGCGGCGAAGGCGGCCUGCUGGACCGCGACUGACGUUGAGGCUCGAAAGCGUGGGGAGCGAACAGGAUUAGAUACCCUAGUAGUC